CAGCCGCCACGGGAAUACCGAGGGUGCAAGCGUUAAUCGGAAUUACUGGGCGUAAAGCGCGCGUAGGUGGUUUGUUAAGUCUGAUGUGAAAGCCCCCGGCUCAACCGGGGAGGGUCAUUGGAAACUGGGAAACUUGAGUGCAGAAGAGGAGAGUGGAAUUCCACGUGUAGCGGUGAAAUGCGUAGAGAUGUGGAGGAACACCAGUGGCGAAGGCGACUCUCUGGUCUGUAACUGACGCUGAGGAGCGAAAGCGUGGGGAGCAAACAGGAUUAGAUACCCCUGUAGUCCCUGUCUCUUAUAC
rnacentral:rRNA from 1 species